UUAGUCCACCUCAAUGCCAGCCAGCUUGUUUUCCAUGCUGAGCUAAGCAUACAUUUCAAUUGGACUCAUAAUAAAUAUAGGGUUUUAAUAUCCUAGUGCCUGAAGAUCUCAUUCUCUUCCCGCUCUCUUGGAACUUAAAACCACAUUA
rnacentral:snoRNA from 1 species